rnacentral:lncRNA from 12 species
AUGUUUCAUUUGAAUGAUAGGACUGUGCACUGUGGGCAGUUUCCUAGCCUGGUGUCCGGCUCUGAGGAAGGAAAUCUGAGCCAGACGUUGAUCCCCACUCCCCUUCGGCCCUCUUUUAAGGUGCUCAAAAUUGCAUCCUGGAAAAUACCGAGUGUCCCAGAAGUUGACUGUUUCUACCCCCAGCCUCUGCCCCAAGAACUCGAGACCCACCCCAACGCCUCACGCACAGCCUACUACCAAUUCACCUUCUGCUCUUGCACUGUGUCUGUUUUGUUCAUUUGUUUAAAUCAUUUCACAUUCACUCUUGAGUUGGCCACCCCCCACCCCACCCCCACCCCUGCUGCUGUGUGUUGGGGAGGAGCACCCAGUCAGGGCCUGGGCUCUGGAGUGGGUUCCAUCACUAAAGCCCCUGAGUGAGCUUGCUGGCAACAACAUGUGACCUCUCAGCCAUCAUUCUCCCACGUGUAAAAUGAGGGUCUUGGUGCUGCCUUGCCUCCAAUAUGCUUUGAGCCCACAAUCUUCACCCCGUGAGCAGUGGGAAACAUAAUGUGUGAUGGGGGAACACAAGGCUAGCUGAGGACAAGGCACGAGCCUAGAGCAGCACAUUGACAAGUCCUUGAAAGAGGCAGAGGGACUCUACGGACUCAGCUGCCUCGAUGUUCAUGCUUUGCUAAGGGCAGGAGACAAUCCUAGCCUGACCCCUAUGACCCUGAGAGUCUACUUUAACAUAUAAAAAUUCCUUCAGAAAUUUCCUUUAUGUCCAAACCCCCAAUAUACGUGUUGGCAAUCAUCCCCCAAGCACAUGGCCCACCGACAUACAUCUGAAGGGUCUCAUGACUCAGGUUUUAUUAGACGGUAAUAAGUGACCUUUUCCCAAUGAAAGCCAGCCCCCUCAAGGUCCUGGAAACCUUGCUUCCAAAAUUCCUUAGAGAGUACACGAUGCUGAAACCCCUCCCAACUCCCAGGUCUAUAAUCUGCCACAGGCCCCGGGGCAGCAGUCCUUCCUACCCACGGGUCCUGUCCCCUGUGCUUUAAUAAAACCACCAUUUUGCACCA